rnacentral:rRNA from 1 species
UACAUAGGUCACAAGCGUUAUCCGGAGUUACUGGGCGUAAAGCGUCCGUAGCCGGUAUUGUAAGUCUGUCUUCAAAUUCUCUGACUUAAUCAGAGGCAGGGGAUAGAUACUGCAAUGCUAGAGGUUUUUAGAGGUUAGUGGAAUUUCCGGUGUAGAGGUGAAAUUCGUUGAUAUCGGAAAGAACGCCAAAAGCGAAAGCAGCUAACUAUAAAAAUCCUGACGGUGAGGGACGAAAGCUUGGGUAGCAAAUGGG